rnacentral:rRNA from 1 species
CGAACGGGGAGGAGCCCAGAGCCUGAAUCAGUGUGUGUGUUAGUGGAAGCGUCUGGAAAGGCGCGCGAUACAGGGUGACAGCCCCGUACACAAAAAUGCACAUACUGUGAGCUCGAUGAGUAGGGCGGGACACGUGGUAUCCUGUCUGAAUAUGGGGGGACCAUCCUCCAAGGCUAAAUACUCCUGACUGACCGAUAGUGAACCAGUACCGUGAGGGAAAGGCGAAAAGAACCCCGGCGAGGGGAGUGAAAAAGAACCUGAAACCGUGUACGUACAAGCAGUGGGAGCCUCUUUUAUGGGGUGACUGCGUACCUUUUGUAUAAUGGGUCAGCGACUUAUAUUCUGUAGCAAGGUUAACCGAAUAGGGGAGCCGAAGGGAAACCGAGUCUUAACUGGGCGUUAAGUUGCAGGGUAUAGACCCGAAACCCGGUGAUCUAGCCAUGGGCAGGUUGAAGGUUGGGUAACACUAACUGGAGGACCGAACCGACUAAUGUUGAAAAAUUAGCGGAUGACUUGUGGCUGGGGGUGAAAGGCCAAUCAAACCGGGAGAUAGCUGGUUCUCCCCGAAAGCUAUUUAGGUAGCGCCUCGUGAAUUCAUCUCCGGGGGUAGAGCACUGUUUCGGCAAGGGGGUCAUCCCGACUUACCAACCCGAUGCAAACUGCGAAUACCGGAGAAUGUUAUCACGGGAGACACACGGCGGGUGCUAACGUCCGUCGUGAAGAGGGAAACAACCCAGACCGCCAGCUAAGGUCCCAAAGUCAUGGUUAAGUGGGAAACGAUGUGGGAAGGCCCAGACAGCCAGGAUGUUGGCUUAGAAGCAGCCAUCAUUUAAAGAAAGCGUAAUAGCUCACUGGUCGAGUCGGCCUGCGCGGAAGAUGUAACGGGGCUAAACCAUG